UCUGUAAGCCUGUGAAGGUGUGUCGUGAGGCAUGCUGGAGGUAUCAGAAGUGCGAAUGCUGACAUAAGUAACGAUAAAGCGGGUGAAAAGCCCGCUCGCCGGAAGACCAAGGGUUCCUGUCCAACGUUAAUCGGGGCAGGGUGAGUCGACCCCUAAGGCGAGGCCGAAAGGCGUAGUCGAUGGGAAACGGGUUAAUAUUCCCGUACUUGGUGUUACUGCGAAGGGGGGACGGAGAAGGCUAUGUUGGCCGGGCGACGGUUGUCCCGGUUUAAGCGUGUAGGUGUGUGUUCCAGGUAAAUCCGGUUCACUUUAACACUGAGGCGUGACGACGAGGCACUACGGUGCUGAAGCAACAAAUGCCCUGCUUCCAGGAAAAGCCUCUAAGCAUCAGGUAACAUCAAAUCGUACCCCAAACCGACACAGGUGGUCAGGUAGAGAAUACCAAGGCGCUUGAGAGAACUCGGGUGAAGGAACUAGGCAAAAUGGUGCCGUAACUUCGGGAGAAGGCACGCUGACACGUAGGUGAAGUGAUUUACUCAUGGAGCUGAAGUCAGUCGAAGAUACCAGCUGGCUGCAACUGUUUAUUAAAAACACAGCACUGUGCAAACACGAAAGUGGACGUAUACGGUGUGACGCCUGCCCGGUGCCGGAAGGUUAAUUGAUGGGGUCAGCGCAAGCGAAGCUCUUGAUCGAAGCCCCGGUAAACGGCGGCCGUAACUAUAACGGUCCUAAGGUAGCGAAAUUCCUUGUCGGGUAAGUUCCGACCUGCACGAAUGGCGUAAUGAUGGCCAGGCUGUCUCCACCCGAGACUCAGUGAAAUUGAACUCGCUGUGAAGAUGCAGUGUACCCGCGGCAAGACGGAAAGACCCCGUGAACCUUUACUAUAGCUUGACACUGAACAUUGAGCCUUGAUGUGUAGGAUAGGUGGGAGGCUUUGAAGUGUGGACGCCAGUCUGCAUGGAGCCGACCUUGAAAUACCACCCUUUAAUGUUUGAUGUUCUAACGUGGACCCGUGAUCCGGGUUGCGGACAGUGUCUGGUGGGUAGUUUGACUGGGGCGGUCUCCUCCUAAAGAGUAACGGAGGAGCACGAAGGUUGGCUAAUCCUGGUCGGACAUCAGGAGGUUAGUGCAAUGGCAUAAGCCAGCUUGACUGCGAGCGUGACGGCGCGAGCAGGUGCGAAAGCAGGUCAUAGUGAUCCGGUGGUUCUGAAUGGAAGGGCCAUCGCUCAACGGAUAAAAGGUACUCCGGGGAUAACAGGCUGAUACCGCCCAAGAGUUCAUAUCGACGGCGGUGUUUGGCACCUCGAUGUCGGCUCAUCACAUCCUGGGGCUGAAGUAGGUCCCAAGGGUAUGGCUGUUCGCCAUUUAAAGUGGUACGCGAGCUGGGUUUAGAACGUCGUGAGACAGUUCGGUCCCUAUCUGCCGUGGGCGCUGGAGAACUGAGGGGGGCUGCUCCUAGUACGAGAGGACCGGAGUGGACGCAUCACUGGUGUUCGGGUUGUCAUGCCAAUGGCACUGCCCGGUAGCUAAAUGCGGAAGAGAUAAGUGCUGAAAGCAUCUAAGCACGAAACUUGCCCCGAG
rnacentral:rRNA from 1 species